rnacentral:rRNA from 1 species
AGGAGGCAGCUUACACAUGCAAGUCGAGCGCACUCUUCGGAGUGAGCGGCGGACGGGUUAGUAACGCGUGGGAACGUGCCCUUCUCUAAGGAAUAGCCACUGGAAACGGUGAGUAAUACCUUAUACGCCCUUCGGGGGAAAGAUUUAUCGGAGAAGGAUCGGCCCGCGUUAGAUUAGAUAGUUGGUGGGGUAAUGGCCUACCAAGUCUACGAUCUAUAGCUGGUUUUAGAGGAUGAUCAGCAACACUGGGACUGAGACACGGCCCAGACUCCUACGGGAGGCAGCAGUGGGGAAUCUUGGACAAUGGGCGCAAGCCUGAUCCAGCCAUGCCGCGUGAGUGAUGAAGGCCUUAGGGUCGUAAAGCUCUUUCGCCAGAGAUGAUAAUGACAGUAUCUGGUAAAGAAACCCCGGCUAACUCCGUGCCAGCAGCCGCGGUAAUACGGAGGGGGUUAGCGUUGUUCGGAAUUACUGGGCGUAAAGCGCACGUAGGCGGAUCAGAAAGUAUAGGGUGAAAUCCCAGGGCUCAACCCUGGAACUGCCUUGUAAACUCCUGGUCUUGAGUUCGAGAGAGGUGAGUGGAAUUCCGAGUGUAGAGGUGAAAUUCGUAGAUAUUCGGAGGAACACCAGUGGCGAAGGCGGCUCACUGGCUCGAUACUGACGCUGAGGUGCGAAAGUGUGGGGAGCAAACAGGAUUAGAUACCCUGGUAGUC